rnacentral:lncRNA from 1 species
UUGGUGCCUAAACCAAAGCUCCAGACCAUAAUAUUCUCAGCUGAUGCACCUCAUGUUUGUCUCUAUGCUCAUAUAACCCAUCUCCUCCACAGCACUUCCCCUGACUCACCUGGGGAUGGGGUGCUGCUGCCCAGUGCCCUGCUCUCUGCUGGCACCCCGAAGUGGUGGGGCAGCCGUGGCCUCUCCCCAGUACCCAGAAUCAUGUACGGAGGAGUCUUCUGAUAAUUAAACAGCAACACCACUGGGCUGAGGUCUGGAUUUAAAAAUCGCCACGUGCAUAUUCAACAUGAAGGCCUACUGUAAAAGAAUAUAACUCUUUACCUGCUGAAUGCCUUGCCAAGUAAACGACAGCAUUCACCCAAAGGAAGUAAUAGCAAUAUCCAUAGAAAUGGAGCUACUAUAUUCACCCGAUAUAGUGCAUGAGAAGCCUAUUUAUAGAAAGAAAUUGCUAUGAGGAUUACAUAUAAGAUAAAACCUACCCGCUGUCAUCUCUGCUUUCAACUAGGAUGUCCCUUACCACCCUGGCUGCUCCAUUUUGACUCCUUCUGACUCAAGUUGUCCUCUGCCACAUAGUAUCAGGCUCCAGUAAAUCGUCCUUUAUUAGUGCUCUGAAAACCCAUAUGUAGCCCAUUAAAGUAAAUCUGGAAGUGCCCUGUGUCUUUUCUCCAAGUGGAUAAACAUGACAAGUAUUUAAUUAAUAUAUCAAGAAUAGGGACAGAAAAUUUUCCCAACCUCAAAUACACUAAAUGAUGUUACUUUCCUCAUUAGAGAAAUAUUACUCAGCACAGACUGAGCAGAGCUGCCUUCAGUGAUUCUUCUGCUUGGCCACUGCCUAUGGAGUUGGGCUAGCGCAGGGAAGGGGGGGGCAUUUGCAGCCUUGGGAAGGAAGACAUUUUCUCAUGACAGUUUUUAUCUUGGUCAUCCUGCUUUUACCACAAAUGUAAAAUGUACAUAAAUGUUGUCAAGUUGUAUCCUUUUCUUCCCAAAUUAAAUUAGCCUUUUUUUUUUUUUCUCUCUCUCUCUUUUUUUUUUUUUUUCUUUGCCAGUAUUCAGAAAGAUGUCACAAAUGCUUGUGCCACAGAUCCCCAUGCAGUCAAAUAAAUGAUAAUUUGUUCUCCA